ACAGCAGAGCAGACUGAAGCUGCCUCCUGUGCUCUGGGAAUGGUUUUCAGCAACCCUGAUGGGAAAAUCGGUCAGCGCAGCCUGUCCAUGCUGCUGGGAUGGCUCUUGCUCCUUGGCUCUUGCUGUUAUCUUGAGCGAGACAAUGACCUGGUCUGCACCCAGGAUGUCCUGGCCCUGGGUUCUGCCUGUGCGAGGGCUUGGGCAGGACAGCUUAGCUGUUUCUGCAUUUAUUUUUUAAUCCAUUGCCAAGAUAUUACUAGCUAAGACCAUGAGUUUCUAUUUUUUUUUUUCCGAGACAGGGUUUCUCUGUGUAACUUCCUGCAUUUAUGAACAGACUAGAUACACAGGGUCCCUGAGGAGACUCCCAGUGAGUGAGAUUGUGCGUACAUACCUGGCGUUGCCAUUUGGAGUCUCACAGUUAACCAUUUAUAGAAUGGAAUUUCUAGUUGGGCAUUGUGGUAUGUGCCUGUAGUUCCAGCACUCAAAAGGUUGAGACAGGAGGAUUGCCCUAAUUUCUAGACUAACCUGGGCCACAUAUUGAGUUCCAGACAAACCAGGUCUACAUAGUGAUAACUUGUCUCAAAACAAAAGAAAAGUAAAUAAUAAAUAAAUAAAAAGACUCCAGUUACUAAACUAGCUUUUUAAACAACUCCUUAGGCUGCUUGUAAAGACCUAAGUGUGUGUAGCGGUGGGGGCUGGAGUCGCCUAAAUCUUUGGGGACAGCCUGGGUGGCUUGCACUUCUGUCAGAGACACUCAGGUAAGUGUCUACAGCUCCCAGUCCGGACCCUGUGUUCAUGCUGGACACACCAAUUGGGAUAUGGAAUGUGUCCAUUGGAAUGGUUCUUGGGCACUGUGGUAGCUGAGAGGCAGGACCCAGAAGACACAAAGAAGGGGUCUUCAGGCCAUGAUGGGCACACUAGAAGAGGGGGUUCAGCUUUCAUCUCAGCCCACACUUUCCUGACCUAGGAUGGGCCCGCUAGGUCCAGCCCUACAGCUUCCUCCCCCACGGAGAUGAUCACAUAGAGACUGACUCAAUCCUUCCUUCCCUCCCUGCCACUUCUUCCUGGAAAUUGCCCUCAUCUUGGGCCCUGACCUGAUGGGCCCUGGAGAAUACUGCCGGAAAUCUCCCAUCCCCCAAGGCUGGCCAGAAAGAAGAGACCAACAUGGAGUCCCUCUCCUCUCCACUGGGCUGCAGCCAGCUCUGCACCCCUUGGGAACACAGGGCCCUGAGAGGGUCUCUCUACAUAGCCCUGGCUGUCCUGCAACUCUAUGUAGACCAGGCUCUGGUCUCAAACUCACAGAGAUUUGCUUGCCUCUGCGUCCAGAUGGCUGAUAAAGGUAUGAGCCACCAUGCCCGGCCCAAAUAGCUAUUUUUUCAUGUGAUCUUUACCUGGGGACCUACUGGACUAGGGAAGACACAGUGGACAAGCUGGGCGAACCUCUGCAACAAAUAACCCAAGGUGAAAGAACAGCAAUUCUAAAGCAGCAUGGAUGUGAUGUCCCAAAGUCCUCAAGACAUCAUCAAGCUCCUGAAG